AGAGUUUGAUCCUGGCUCAGAAUCAACGCUGGCGGCGCGCUUAACACAUGCAAGUCGCACGAGAAAGCGGGAGCAAUCUCGCGAGUACAGUGGCGUACGGGUGAGUAACACGUGGGUGAUCUACCCUUUAGUGGGGAAUAACGCUGGGAAACCGGCGCUAAUACCGCAUAAGCUCGAGAGAGGAAAGCAGCAAUGCGCUGAAGGAGGAGCCCGCGGCCGAUUAGCUAGUUGGCAGGGUAAAAGCCUACCAAGGCAAAGAUCGGUAGCCGGCCUGAGAGGGCACACGGCCACACUGGCACUGAAACACGGGCCAGACUCCUACGGGAGGCAGCAGUGGGGAAUCUUGCACAAUGGGGGCAACCCUGAUGCAGCGACGCCGCGUGAGCGAUGAAGCCCUUCGGGGUGUAAAGCUCUUUCGUCAGGGACGAUAAUGACGGUACCUGGAGAAGCAGCUGCGGCUAACUACGUGCCAGCAGCCGCGGUAAUACGUAGGCAGCGAGCGUUGUUCGGAGUUACUGGGCGUAAAGGGUGUGUAGGCGGUUUUCUAAGUUUGGUGUGAAAUCUCCCGGCUCAACCGGGAGGGUGCGCCGAAAACUGGGAGACUAGAGUGCGGGAUGGGAGAGUAGAAUUCCUGGUGUAGCGGUGAAAUGCGUAGAUAUCAGGAGGAAUACCGGUGGUGUAGACGGCUCUCUGGACCGCCACUGACGCUGAGACACGAAAGCGUGGGUAGCAAACAGGAUUAGAUACCCUGGUAGUCC
rnacentral:rRNA from 1 species